GUGCCAGCAGCCGCGGUAAGACGAACCGUGCGAACGUUGUUCGGAAUCACUGGGCUUAAAGGGCGCGUAGGCGGGCUGCCGCGUCCGGGGUGAAAUCCCGCGGCUCAACCGCGGAACGGCCUCGGAUACGGGCGGCCUCGAGGGGGGUAGGGGCGUGCGGAACUCUGGGUGGAGCGGUGAAAUGCGUUGAUAUCCAGAGGAACUCCGGUGGCGAAGGCGGCACGCUGGACCCUCACUGACGCUGAGGCGCGAAAGCCAGGGGAGCGAACGGGAUUAGAUACCCCAGUAGUCC
rnacentral:rRNA from 1 species